rnacentral:lncRNA from 1 species
AGGGCUUUGGCAACCCAUGCGGAUGGAGCAUGGAUCCUCUUGGUAAAGCCAUCAACGAGGAGGCCGGCAUCAUUCCUGCACACCCCGGCGACCGAUCCAGCCAUUGUCGAGUUGCACCAAGAACAAUCAACAUUAAUCUUCAGCUCAUUUGUAGAAGGUGGGUUCCAUUUCGUUGAGUUAUUUGGAGCUGCCGAUGACCCUCUGCUUCUACUCUUUCCCCUUAGGUUCCACUUCGUGUAAAG